rnacentral:rRNA from 1 species
UACAGAGGUCUCAAGCGUUGUUCGGAUUCAUUUGGGCGUAAAGGGUGCGUAGGCGGCGCGGUAAGUCGGGUGUGAAAUCUCGGAGCUUAACUCCGAAACUGCAUUCGAUACUGCCGUGCUUGAGGACUGGAGAGGAGACUGGAAUUUACGGUGUAGCGGUGAAAUGCGUAGAUAUCGUAAGGAAGACCAGUGGCGAAGGCGGGUCUCUGGACAGUUCCUGACGCUGAGGCACGAAGGUCAGGGGAGCAAACGGGG